rnacentral:misc_RNA from 1 species
UUUGUUUUUUAAUUAAAAACUAGAAUGAAAGGUUAUACAUUUAAAUUUCUUUAUUAAUUUCUUAUAUAUAAUUUAUAUUAAAUAUAAAAAUAUAUUUUUUAAAUAAAAAGACGAUAAGACCCUAUUAAAUUUUACUUAUAGUUUAACUGGGGAAGUUUUAAAAAUAAAAUUUUUUAUAAAAAUAAAAAUAAAUCUAAUAAAAUUAAAAUUAAAUUAAAUUACUAUAGGGAUAACAGCAUUAUAUUUUUUAAAAGUUCAUAUUAAAAAAAAUGAUUGUGACCUCGAUGUUGAAUUAUAUUUUCUUUAUUAAUGCAAUAAUUAUAAAAGUAGAUCUGUUCGAUCUUUAAAAUAUUACAUGAUUUGAGUUCAAACCGGUGUAAACCAGGUUGGUUUCUAUCUUUUUAUAAAUUCAUAUAUAUAUAUAUAUAUACAUAAAUUUUUCAAGUACGAAAGGAAAAAAAAAUUUUUAUUUUAAUUAAUUAGCAAUUAAUAUGCAUUAGAUUUAGAAUCUAAAUAAACUAUUAUU